AAUUAGAAAAUUAUAGAAGAUAUAGAAAUUAUUAUUUUUACUAAACAUUUUUCAUUUUAUAACAGAAAAUAUUUAUGUAUUUAGUAAGCUAAUUAAAAAAUAAUAAUCAUAAACACCCGCACUAUUCAUAAAGUCUAUAGUUGACGUAAAGAGAAAGGGAGAGGAAAAACUUGAAUCUUCCAUCGAAACAAUGAAUCCUUUUGGUAGUUUCACGAAAGAGAGGAGGAAUGGCCCAAAAGCGCCAGAUACACUGAGCUUCCCAUUGGAGGGUAGGAACUUACGCAUGGUUGCAGUAUCCACGACGUCCCCGGCGGCUGUGAUUCCGAACUCACCUCUUGCGGCGCUUCAGUCACCAUCCUCUCCUCCUCCGCCGGCAAGACCGUCAACCUUACGCAUGGUUGCAGUCUCCACGUCCCCGGCGAUUCCGAACUCACCUCUUGCGGCGCUUCCUAAACAGUCGCCAUCGUCUCCUCCUCCGAACUCGCCACCGUCAACCUUGUUCCUGAUGACCAUUACCUUUGUUGGUUUAGUUCUUGCGCGCCUUCUGUCGCGUAGCGACUGAGAGAGAUGUCUUCUCUUUUCUUUUAUUUAUCUUUCUCUUUCUGUUUCUCUUUUCUUUCUUUCUUUCUUUCUUUCUUUCUUUCUUUCUGCGAUAUGAUCGGUAAAGUUAUUGUCUUGUUAUGGUGGAGUAAUACUCACCCCAAUGGGUUUCUUCUUGCUGCAACAUACUACCGUGAAGCCAUGGGGAUCUUUCUUGUGUCUCACGUCAGUCACCAAUGAAUCAUUUUUCAACAAUAUAAUAAGGAAUUGGAUCCGUAACAUUGAGCAUCACGCUUCUGAUAAAUGUCAACAAGAUUCUAGUGGGGAACAAGAGUGCCAAGACUAUAACCUACACGUUGAGGAAGCUUUCUUUUCAAUUGGUAAAGACAUUAAGCAAAGAGUCAAAGACUUGCAGUUUACCGAUGCCAAACGCUAAGGCACAAACAAUCAAAAUAAACCAAUUCGAUUUGAUGCACCGCCUAGAGCUUGACUGGUCCCAAACAAUUGAACGCAUAUUGUACACUUAUGCACAGCAUUCUCGUUGUUCCGAUGCUCCGCUUGUAAUAGAAUCUUAUGUGACCAAUUAGGGUUUAUUUAUAAACAAAACUAAAGAACGUUUCAGAGACUUUGACUUUUG